GAAAUGCGAUAAGUAGUGUGAAUUGCAGAAUUCAGUGAAUCAUCGAAUCUUUGAACGCACAUUGCGCCCCUUGGUAUUCCAUGGGGCAUGCUUGUUCGAGCGUCAUUUGUACUCUCAAGCUUUGCUUGGUGUUGGGUGCUUGUCCUUUCCACCGUGGCUGGACUCACCUCAAAUUCAUUGGCAGCCAAUGUAUUGGUCUUGAAGCGCAGCACAAUUUGCGACUCAAGCUGGUAACCGUGGCGUCCAUUAAGCCUAUUUUAACACUUUUGACCUCGGAUCAAGUAGGGAUACCCGCUGAACUUAA
rnacentral:misc_RNA from 1 species